rnacentral:rRNA from 1 species
GACGAACGCUGGCGGCGUGCUUAACACAUGCAAGUCGAACGGAAAGGCCCUGCUUUUGUGGGGUGCUCGAGUGGCGAACGGGUGAGUAACACGUGAGUAACCUGCCCUUGACUUUGGGAUAACUUCAGGAAACUGGGGCUAAUACCGGAUAGGAGCUCCUGCUGCAUGGUGGGGGUUGGAAAGUUUCGGCGGUUGGGGAUGGACUCGCGGCUUAUCAGCUUGUUGGUGGGGUAGUGGCUUACCAAGGCUUUGACGGGUAGCCGGCCUGAGUGGGUGACCGGCCACAUGGGGACUGAGAUACGGCCCAGACUCCUACGGGAGGCAGCAGUGGGGAAUAUUGCACAAUGGGCGGAAGCCUGAUGCAGCAACGCCGCGUGCGGGAUGACGGCCUUCGGGUUGUAAACCGCUUUCGCCUGUGACGAAGCGUGAGUGACGGUAAUGGGUAAAGAAGCACCGGCUAACUACGUG